rnacentral:rRNA from 1 species
AUUGAACGCUGGCGGAAUGCUUUACACAUGCAAGUCGAACGGCAGCACGGACUUCGGUCUGGUGGCGAGUGGCGAACGGGUGAGUAAUGUAUCGGAACGUGCCCAGUCGUGGGGGAUAACGUAGUGAAAAUUACGCUAAUACCGCAUCCGAUCUAUGGAUGAAAGCGGGGGAUCGCAAGACCUCGCGCGAUUGGAGCGGCCGAUAUCAGGUUAGGUAGUUGGUGGGGUAAAGGCCCACCAAGCCAACGAUCUGUAGCUGGUCUGAGAGGACGAGCAGCCACACUGGAACUGAGACACGGUCCAGACUCCUACGGGAGGCAGCAGUGGGGAAUUUUGGACAAUGGGCGAAAGCCUGAUCCAGCCAUUCCGCGUGCAGGAUGAAGGCCCUCGGGUUGUAAACUGCUUUUGUACAGAACGAAGAGGCUUCUACUAAUACUAGGAGCUCAUGACGGUACUGUAAGAAUAAGCACCGGCUAACUACGUGCCAGCCGCCGCCGUAA